UCGAGAAUCUUCCGCAAUGGACGCAAGUCUGACGGAGCGACGCCGCGUGAUGGAUGAAGUGCUUCGGCACGUAAACAUCUUUUAGAGGGGAUGACAAUUCGACAGUACCCUCAGAAUAAGGGGCUCCUAACUCUGUGCCAGCAGGAGCGGUAAUACAGAGGCCCCAAGCAUUAUCCGGAAUCACUGGGCGUAAAGGGUGCGUAGGUGGCAGUAUUAGUCCUUUCUUAAAUCUUCCUUGCUCAACAGGGAUGCUCGAAGGGAAACGGUACUGCUCGAGGAUGUACGAGGUAAGCAGAACUCAUGGUGUAGGGGUGAAAUCCGUUGAUAUCAUGGGGAAUACCAAAUGCGAAGGCAGCUUACUGGGACAUUCCUGACACUGAGGCACGAAAGCGUGGGUAGCAAAAAGG
rnacentral:rRNA from 1 species